rnacentral:rRNA from 1 species
UAGGUCCCAGUUCAGAUUGCAGGCUGCAACCCGCCUGCAUGAAGUCGGAAUUGCUAGUAAUCGCGGAUCAGCAUGCCGCGGUGAAUACGUUCCCGGGCCUUGUACACACCGCCCGUCACACCAUGGGAGCCGGUAAUACCCGAAGUCAGUAGUCCAACCACGUGAGGACGCUGCCGAAGGUAGGAUUGGCGACUGGGGUGAAGUCGUAACAAGGUAAC